CUAUCGGUAUGGGAUGGGGUCGCGUCCUAUCAGGUAGUCGGCGGGGUAACGGCCCACCGAGCCUACGACGGGUAGCCGGCCUGAGAGGGCGACCGGCCACAUUGGGACUGAGAUACGGCCCAGACUCCUACGGGAGGCAGCAGUGGGGAAUAUUGCACAAUGGGCGCAAGCCUGAUGCAGCGACGCCGCGUGCGGGAUGACGGCCUUCGGGUUGUAAACCGCUUUUGACUGGGAGCAAGCCCUUCGGGGUGAGUGUACCUUUCGAAUAAGCACCGGCUAACUACGUGCCAGCAGCCGCGGUAAUACGUAGGGUGCAAGCGUUAUCCGGAAUUAUUGGGCGUAAAGGGCUCGUAGGCGGUUCGUCGCGUCCGGUGUGAAAGUCCAUCGCUUAACGGUGGAUCCGCGCCGGGUACGGGCGGGCUUGAGUGCGGUAGGGGAGACUGGAAUUCCCGGUGUAACGGUGG
rnacentral:rRNA from 1 species